GGCCGUGACUUCUCAACUCUCACCAGCAGCGUUCUCUUUUUGGUCAUUCGUCUGACUGUCUGUUCGUCUGUUUAAUGACCAAGCGGGAGUGCGUUUGGAGAUAAAAGUGUUCUUAUUGCGAAAGAAAAAAGUGCGAAUUGGAACGCUCCCGUGAAAGUGUGCACUUCGUGUGUGAAUCCCCCCGAACGGCAACACAACACGAUACUCCACUCAGCCCAAAAUGAUGAUGGAUUCGAAGCAUUCAAUCCGGAAAUGAAACAACAUCAAUGCAGUGUCGGGAAGUUAUUCAGAACUUGGUUUCGCCACUAACGUUUCACCGCCAUCCUCUCAUCAUCAUCAUCAUCAUCAUCAUCAUCAUCAUCGGUUUGCUGCUAGUUUGCUUGCACAGAUUUCCCAACUUUUCCCGACGAAGUCAGCGAGCAAGCGAGCGAGCCAACCGAAGUAGAAAGUUGUCCGAGAAUGUUGACCAUCGCUUGCGUUGCGUUUUUGUGGGAAAAUUACGACCGAUAAAACUCCCAUAACUUGAUCAUAUUUCCCGCACACACCCGCUGGGCUGCAGUUUGCUGACCAUUCGUCCUCUUUACCACACUCUCAUACAAUAUUGCCAUCACACGUGCGGAAGAAGUAAGGCGGUUGCAACCAACAACGGUCCUGCUCGCAAAUGCUUUCACGGACGAGUGACCACAAGCAUGGCUCGGUGGGUGGUGGGCUUUGGCCCAAACCAAGAAGCAUACCAGGGAGUCCAAAAGCUGCGGAAACAUAUUAGCAAGAAUCGUUCGCUCCACAAGGAUUCCGUAGAAAAGACAGCUCUGACCAGAACGGCAGCAGCUACAAUAACACCUUGCAGUGUAUUCCCACCGGAACUGACUGGGUCUCGAGAGAUGGAGGAUGCUGUUGCCGAUUGCCACCAAGUCUGCUGCUUUGUUUACCACAUUCCAACACCACACACACAGAGAAGGUGCGCGGGUGUUUUUCGCCCAGCCAAGACGCCCGCAAGCGCUAAAGUUAAUGAUAUUGUUGUGCUUCGCAAUUGAACGAAUUAUAACUUUUAAUGAAUUCAUUCAAUAGCUUCUUGCGCGAGGAUGAGAAGCAAGCCUUAUUGACGUCUAACGAACGGCCAGGUUCUGCACAUGGCGAGGAAUAUUGAGCUUCCAAUGAAAAUUGCUGAAUGAUGGUGCAGGACAUUCGCGGAAAAUAAUGUUGCUCUAAAUGGCGGAAUCAUCUUUGUUUUUCUAAUUAAACGCUCCACAAGGCUUGGUAAUAAGUCUCCUUGGGAAGGUGGUGCAUUUCGUUUUCCUUCGCACGCCUCAGUUCGCACAAUUGCCAUCCUGUUGAGUUUUGAAGAAGUGGACACAGCAAAAUGGAAAGGAAGUCUCAAAACAAA